AUUAUGAUUUUUUGUCAUUUUUUCCAAAAUUGAAAAAAAAAAAUUAUUUAGCUAAAGCUUUUACUUUUUUAAAAAUAAAGAUCCAAAAAUUAUCACGUUUCUUAUUAAUCAUAUUUGCUUUUCAUAUUACAAAGCUAUUUUAAUUACCACUUACAUUAUAUGAAAAGGAGCUAUAUUACUAAAAUAAUUUGAAGUGUUAAUCAUGAAUAUAUUAUAUUAAAAUUUUAAAGAACAGAGAUAAGAUCCAUCUCAUUUUAAUCUAGACCUCUCUAUUUUUUAGCAUUUUAAUUUUAAAGCAUCAAACUAAUUUACGAAUAAGUAGGCUUUUUUUUAUAAACAAAAGUAAGUUAUCAAUUUAUGUAAACUUUCCUAUCAGUUAAAGGGUGUUAAAUAAUUCCCUUUAUUGUGUGUAAAUUUACUUACUAUAUUCCAUGAAGACUCUCUAAUGAAUAAUGGAUUAGCUGCUGAUAAUUGUGAUAUUUAUUAAUAAUUUUUAUACCAAGCAGGUUUUAAAGAUAAAAUGUUAUUUUUAUAUAUUUCAUUGUUUUAAACUGUAUUUGUUGUGCUGUUCAAAAAAAUAAGUAUUUAAAAGAGUGUUAUAACUUUUUUUGUUAUUUUUUAUAGGUAUACCUGGUCCAGAGUAUAUAGAUAUAGAUGGUGUUACAGUCAUAGCUAUAGGCCAUGAAAAAUCUGCUUCUGUUAAAGACUUUGGUAAUGCAAUGAUGUAUACAGAUGAGUAUUUUUGCCCAGAACUAAAUUGCACUUUCAGUACUUCAUCCUAUAGAAUGUACAAGAAUCAUAUUUCUGUUCAUUUUGAGGAUCGUCCAUUUUUGUGUACUGUUUGCAGUCGUUCCUUCAAACGUAAAGAUGGCUUAAAACAGCAUAUGGUUCUUCAUUCUGGGGAGAAGCCAUAUAGUUGUCGUCAUUGUCCUAUGAAAUUUGCACACAGGAGUGCUCGUAUUAAGCACCAACUGAUACAUUAUAAUCAGUAAAAUCGAAUUUUGGAAUGUGUUUCUUUAAAAUACUGUUAUUGUACUGGUUCACUUAAAAAAAGCUUUGCUUAAUAUCGAUUGAAAUAUGUUAAACCUGAGUAUUACACAAAAUCUUUAUUGCAAAACUAUACAAAUAACAAAAAAUGGGAAAUAAUAAAAAUUUAUUGUUGCUCAUAAGUGGAAAAUAUAAACAUUGUUAUGAUAUUAAAGCUCAGUGAGACCUAAAAAGAAAAAUGAAAACCCAAAGUACAUUGACAAUUUGGCUUUAGGGAAUUUCAGUAAGAUACGAUUUGAAUGCUUACUUUGUCCCUUUUCAUCUGAGCAUUAUGCUGAAAUAAGGAAGCAUACUGUAAUACAUAAUCAGUUUACUUGCAGUUACUGUGGAAGAUCAUUUAGCCGCAAAGAGAGUUUGCAAACUCAUAUGAAUCGUCACACCGGUGAUCAACCAUUUGAAUGUGGCUUAUGCCCUAUGAGAUUUUCUCAUCGCUACACUCGUUAUAUUCAUCAUCGUAAGAGUCAUAAAGAUGUAUGAUUAUAUGUACCUGAAAAAUGUUAUAUUUCUCUGUACUUUGAAUGGGAACGGAAUUUUUUUCUCGACAUCACACGAAGUAUAUUUACUAUUUAUGUUUUGUUAUUCAAAAUUUCAUUAAAAGAACUUUUACUCAGAUAAUUGUUAUUUCUUUGGUUUGUGUUAUGCUGUUAUUCUGUAUUUAAAAGAUAAUUAAGUUUGUAUUAAAGACGCAGAGUAUUUGUAUUCAAACCCUUUGUUUUAUUAAACACUUACUUGCCUGUCUUUUGUUUGUCAAUAUUUCUUUCAUUCUAGUUUUAGUAAUUAAACCAUGUACCCUGUUGAUGUAUGUCAUCCUUUGCUGUGUUUAAUUAAUGUGUGUUUGAAAUGUAUUCUUUCUAUUACAAUUUUUAAUGUAAAUUUAAAAAAAAAGCUUAAUAUUUCUUAUCAAACAAUUUUCUUAAAAAUUCUGUCUUUAAUUUUUUUAGAUUUAUUAAUUAGAAUAUUAAUUUCUCAAAAUGCUCUUUACUUAACAAUUGUUUCAAAUAUUUGCAGUUUAGUAAUAGUAUGUUUUUGAAAAUGUAAGCUUUUUGUAUAAACUAUUUUUGGUUCUUAAUCACAAAUACAAUAUUAGAUGGCUAACUAUAGGACCCUGUAAAUAAAUUGUUACAUUAAGUUUUUAAACUUGUCCAGUUUCAUGCAAAAUAUUUCUUUUAUCUGUAAUUUACUUACUUUUGUAUUAUUAAAUCUGCAGAUUAAAGCCUUCAUUUACUGAAAUUUUGUUUUUACAAAAUUUCAUAUUUUUUUCCAAAUAUAUAUUUAAUGAAAUGAAUAGGGAAAACAUGUUUGUGAAUCUCAUUGAAAUGUUCCUGAAAUAAUUAGGGAUUUUUAUUUCUAAAUUUGAGUGGAAACCCUGAUUGUGCUUUUACAUUAAAAUAUGCUUUAAAUUUUAAGCAUAACAUAUUUAAAAUUUGUAUUUUUAAACUUCUUUUGGAAAGAAAUUAAUCUAGUCAUACCUAGUCUUUGUUUUAUCGGUUUAUGAAUGGCGACCUUUAUUUUUUAAUGUAUUAAUAAAAAUUAUGUUUUGAAAAAAAAGUUCAUUGGUACACUUUUUCAUUAGAAGCUGCAAUUGUAUAUCGAAGAAAAACCUGUAUGAAUUAAAUUAAUAACCUCCAGAAAAACUCUUGAGAUUUUUUUCUUGACUCUACUCUAAAUUGUUUCUAUAGUAUAUGUUAGACUUUUUUUUUCUAAAUGCAAUUUAUUUUUACAGGAAUCUAUGAAACUUCUCAUCUUUCAAAAGCUAAGUACUUUGGCUGCCAACUUUGUUCAUAUGUGUCACCUUUUAGGUGGUGCCUCAAAAGGCACUUACUGACACAUACUGGAGAACGUCCACAUGCUUGUCAUAUAUGCAAUCAAAGGUUUGCGCUGAAAGAAAAUCUUAAAAAACACUAUGUGGUGCAUUUUAAAAAUUAGUGGUUUCUUUAUACCUCGUAAGGAAAAGUCCUGUUCAAAGUCAAGUGCUCCAUGUUCUGCCAUUAAGAUGCAUUGCUGCUCUAUGUGUUCUUAUUCCUCUUAUUCAAAAGCUAAUUUGAAGAAGCAUUACUUCACCCACACUAAAGAAAAGCCAAAUGUGUGUUCUGUUUGCUUUAAAGGCUUUUCAUUGAAGGAAAAUUUGAAGAGGCAUUUUCUCACACAUUUGAAGCUCUGAACUUUUAAUAAAAAAGUUUUCUCUUAAA
rnacentral:sRNA from 1 species